rnacentral:rRNA from 1 species
CCUACGUGAGGCAGCAGUGGGGGAUAUUGCACAAUGGGGGAAACCCUGAUGCAGCGACGCCGCGUGGGCGAAGAAGUAUUUCGGUAUGUAAAGCCCUAUCAGCAGGGAAGAAGAAAUGACGGUACCUGAGUAAGAAGCACCGGCUAAAUACGUGCCAGCAGCCGCGGUAAUACGUAUGGUGCAAGCGUUAUCCGGAUUUAUUGGGUUUAAAGGGUGCGCAGGCGGCCUGUUAAGUCAGCGGUAAAAGCCCGGGGCUCAACCCCGGCGAGCCGUUGAAACUGGCGGGUUGGAGUUGGAGAGAAGUACGCGGAAUGCGCGGUGUAGCGGUGAAAUGCUUAGAUAUCGCGCAGAACCCCGAUUGCGAAGGCAGCGUACCGGCUCCACACUGACGCUGAGGCACGAAAGCGUGGGUAUCGAACAGGAUUAGAUACCCGGUAGUC